rnacentral:sRNA from 1 species
AUUUUAGAAAGCUGCCGAAGACAGUAGGUGCCGUAAGGCAUAAGGUGAUGACGCCUACCGAGGAAGAUUUGAAUUCGAUUUAUAAGAAUUUACAGAACUUCCAGGUCCGAGGGCGUGGAAGUUCUUUUUUUU